rnacentral:lncRNA from 1 species
CCUCCUCUGCAGACUGCUGGCCGGACCCCCAAGCUAACCCGCCAGCCCUCCAUUGAGCUGCCCAGCAUGGCUGUGGCGAGCACCAAGAGCCGGUGGGAGACGGGAGAAGUGCAGGCUCAGUCCACUGCCAAGACCCCCUCUUGCAAGGUAACACCCAUCCCAGGGUGAGGUGGGGUCCCCUUGGAAAGGCAAGUAGGAGGCUGUCUAGGCUGCAGUGUGGGUAGACAGAGCACUGGGAUGUUUGGGGGGUGCUCACCAGGCUGGCCCCCAGAGUGGAAGGCCAUGUGGGGGAACUGGUGGCCCAGUGCAUGUAGGUGGUGCCACUUUCCCUUUCUUACUUCCUCCCCUGGGCUCUCGUACAAGGAAGUGGGUGGGCAGGCCUGGGACCCAGCCGGGCAAGGCUGGACAGGAGAGAAAGGACCACGGCUUUGAGUUCCCUGGUUGAGGGUCUGCACCUGUGACAUGUCCUUCCUCUGAACACAGGAUAUCGUAGCUGGAGACAUGAGCAAGAAAAGCCUCUGGGAGCAAAAAGGAGGCUCCAAGACGUCAUCGACAAUUAAG